GCCUGACCACCUGCCUACGUGUCAUAGCCAGAGUAUCUUGAAGGGAUCUCUGUGAAGGAAAGUGAGGAUCAGAAGAACAACAUCCUUGCAGCCCUCACAAUCGGGAAGCUGAGAGGCCAUCGCACGGUCGAAGAAAAAUGAGGAUUUCAGGAAUAAUGUGUUUUAUUGUGUCUUAGUAUUUUUAUGAUUUUUCAGGAAGGUAGGAGUACAGACAUACCAAAUUGCGAUAGUUGCAUUAAGACUACUAAAACAGGUAACCAAAUAUCCCAAACUCUCAUCUAGCACUCACAGUAUGAAUGUAAG